UACGGGGGGGGCAAGCGUUGUUCGGAAUUACUGGGCGUAAAGGCUCGUAGGCGGCCAACUAAGUCAGACGUGAAAUCCCCAGGCUCAACCUGGGAACUGCGUCUGAUACUGGAUGGCUUGAAUCCGGGAGAGGGAUGCAGAAUUCCAGGUGUAGCGGUGAAAUGCGUAGAUAUCUGGAGGAAUACCGGUGGCGAAGGCGGCAUCCUGGACCGGCAUUGACGCUGAGGAGCGAAAGCCAGGGGAGCAAACGGG
rnacentral:rRNA from 1 species